rnacentral:lncRNA from 1 species
AUAUGGAUUUACUGAAAAGAUACCAGUGGAGAAGUUGUAGAAUAAUUCAUGCAUGAAAUCAGUCUAAAUAAAUGCCGUAAAUAAAAUGUUUUGCAGUGUUCCAUACAGCUAUAACAUCUGUGUGUUUUUUUUCCUGUAGGGUUAUAGAAUUGUGUAUCAUUAUCCUGUACUUCUUCAUGUUUUUCUGCUGCCUUGCAAGAGAUAGACACAAGUCCUGAAAAGUUCUGGGAACCAGUGAAUGACGCAUCUCUUGAAAAGUUCUGGGAACCAGAGCAUUGCAAAACAUAGUUCUGGUGACAUGAGAACUCAGCAAGUCACAGUUUGAAAGCUGAGACUGGAUGCCUGGGAAAGAAACCCUGAUGUCUGAAAGGAAACAGGGCCUCAGGAAGGAUACGCUCCAGCCUACUGUCAAGCACAGCGAACUCACAUAUUAAAAGGUGGAUUUCUGGAAAAGCCACUACUGUAAUCUGCUCAAUAACCCAUGCCAUUCAUUCAGCAGGGAUGAGAGAAUGAGUCUACUUCAUUGCUGUUUUGUGUACCAUAUGCAGAGGAGUUAUGGAUAAAUAACAGCAACAGCCAGUGAAGCAUCUGCAUUUGGCUGGCCACACUAAUGGACAAAAAGGAGAAUUUUCUUCCUAAUUCUUUGUUAACAUUAAUAAUUAUGUGUUUCUUUGCUGAUUACAGAUAACUCCAGGC